CGUCACUUCCGGCCAAGUCGGAGCGCGAAAAAAGGUCCCGAGCUUCAAUCUCAGAGUGUGUGGUGGUUGUCGUCCGCUGUUGUCCUCCUCUCCUUGUUAUCUCGGUACCGACUGUCCCGCUGCUGGUGCUGUAAAGGCGGCUUUUUUUGUUUGGUUCAACUAUGAUCUUUGUUCCAGGGACAGUUAGACCUUGGGAGCCAAAUUUCAUAAUUCCCCGGAACUCGGAUUGGAGGGCGCCGGGUGUGGAACGGCUUGAAAACCGGGAAGCCAUCUGCUGUGGAAUCAUUCUCUACUGAGAACACUCUUGAUCUUGAGCCUGUAAUCAGUUUUCACAAGAGUCUCCUCUGAGAAGGAACCCAUGCUGCUUUGCCAUUGUAGACCAACUGGAGGAAAAACAUAUGAUAUGGAAUGGAUACCCAGGACUGGAAUUCCAAUUUAUAACAUUGUACCAUAGGAAAUGGAGAUUGAAAGAAACAUGUACCUGGAAAUAACCAGUCUUCUUAAGAGAGAAGCAACUCAGCAGAGUGCAUUCCAGACUAUAGAGAUACAUCUGGGUCCCCAAAGCCUGGAAGUUGAGUAUCCACUUGAGUCAUUUUCAGUGACGGAGAGAUAAGAGAGUGGUAAUAGGGCACAUAAAUGGUAAUAGGGUAC
rnacentral:lncRNA from 1 species